AAACGGGCCGUCCCCAUACCCCGUCCGGUAUGGGCGCCAAAACCAUAAGAUCUCCAUGCCCCGUCCGGCAUGUGAGACCACAAUCCCGGUAGGGUUCCCUACGGACCCGGUCCGUCCACCAUCUCCCAGGAUAUCUAGUCAGGCUGUCCCCAUCAUACAAUUAUCAGUCUAUACAAUGUUUCAUUUCCCUUUUUCCUCAAUAAGCAUCAUCAAUUCACAUUUAAACAAGCAAAUCGUAAUUCAUGCCGAACAGACAACAUACAGUAUCAGUUCUUC
rnacentral:lncRNA from 1 species